GUGCUUGCUUCAGCAGCACAUAUCCUAAAAUGGGAACAAUACAGAGAAAAUUAGCAUGGCUUCUGCAGUAAGGAAGCAGCACAAAUUUUUGAAGUGUUCUAUAUUUUG
ensembl:snRNA U6 U6 spliceosomal RNA